rnacentral:rRNA from 1 species
CCCGGAGGAAGAGAAAGAAAAAUCGAUUCCCUGAGUAGCGGCGAGCGAAACGGGAAGAGCCCAAACCAACAAGCUUGCUUGUUGGGGUUGUAGGACACUCUAUACGGAGUUACAAAAGAACAUGUUAGACGAAUCAUCUGGAAAGAUGAAUCAAAGAAGGUAAUAAUCCUGUAGUCGAAAACAUAUUCUCUCUUGAGUGGAUCCUGAGUACGACGGAGCACGUGAAAUUCCGUCGGAAUCUGGGAGGACCAUCUCCUAAGGCUAAAUACUCUCUAGUGACCGAUAGUGAACCAGUACCGUGAGGGAAAGGUGAAAAGUACCCCGGAAGGGGAGUGAAAGAGAACUUGAAACCGUGUGCUUACAAGUAGUCAGAGCCCGUUAAUGGGUGAUGGCGUGCCUUUUGUAGAAUGAACCGGCGAGUUACGAUCUGAUGCAAGGUUAAGCAGCAAAUGUGGAGCCGCAGCGAAAGCGAGUCUGAAUAGGGCGUUGAGUAUUUGGUCGUAGACCCGAAACCAGGUGAUCUACCCUUGGUCAGGUUGAAGUUCAGGUAACACUGAAUGGAGGACCGAACCGACUUACGUUGAAAAGUGAGCGGAUGAACUGAGGGUAGCGGAGAAAUUCCAAUCGAACUUGGAGAUAGCUGGUUCUCUCCGAAAUAGCUUUAGGGCUAGCCUCAAGUGAUGAUUAUUGGAGGUAGAGCACUGUUUGGACGAGGGGCCCCUCUCGGGUUACCGAAUUCAGACAAACUCCGAAUGCCAAUUAAUUUAACUUGGGAGUCAGAACAUGGGUGAUAAGGUCCGUGUUCGAAAGGGAAACAGCCCAGACCACCAGCUAAGGUCCCAAAAUAUAUGUUAAGUGGAAAAGGAUGUGGCGUUGCCCAGACAACUAGGAUGUUGGCUUAGAAGCAGCCAUCAUUUAAAGAGUGCGUAAUAGCUCACUAGUCGAGUGACACUGCGCCGAAAAUGUACCGGGGCUAAACAUAUUACCGAAGCUGUGGAUUGUCCUUUGGACAAUGGUAGGAGAGCGUUCUAAGGGCGUCGAAGCAUGAUCGCAAGGACAUGUGGAGCGCUUAGAAGUGAGAAUGCCGGUGUGAGUAGCGAAAGACGGGUGAGAAUCCCGUCCACCGAUUGACUAAGGUUUCCAGAGGAAGGCUCGUCCGCUCUGGGUUAGUCGGGUCCUAAGCUGAGGCCGACAGGCGUAGGCGAUGGAUAACAGGUUGAUAUUCCUGUACCACCUAGUAUCGUUUUAAUCGAUGGGGGGACGCAGUAGGAUAGGCGAAGCGUGCUGUUGGAGUGCACGUCCAAGCAGUAAGGCUGAGUGUUAGGCAAAUCCGGCACUCAUAAGGCUGAGCUGUGAUGGGGAGAGGAAAUUGUUUCCUCGAGUCGUUGAUUUCACACUGCCGAGAAAAGCCUCUAGAUAGAUAACAGGUGCCCGUACCGCAAACCGACACAGGUAGUCAAGAUGAGAAUUCUAAGGUGAGCGAGCGAACUCUCGUUAAGGAACUCGGCAAAAUGACCCCGUAACUUCGGGAGAAGGGGUGCUCUUUAGGGUUCACGCCCAGAAGAGCCGCAGUGAAUAGGCCCAAGCGACUGUUUAUCAAAAACACAGGUCUCUGCUAAACCGUAAGGUGAUGUAUAGGGGCUGACGCCUGCCCGGUGCUGGAAGGUUAAGAGGAGUGGUUAGCUUCUGCGAAGCUACGAAU